GGAGAGGUGGUCGAGUGGUUAAUGGCAGCGGGCUGUAAACCCGCCGGGCUUAGGUCCUACGGAGGUUCGAAUCCUCCCCUCUCCACCA
rnacentral:tRNA from 1 species